GAAUUUAGCAUUGUCACCAUGGUCAUGAAGAUUGUUUUCCCAGGGUGAGGUUCAUUCAUUGCAUUCUGGGUAUGCUGACUCCUGUGAUUUCCCCAAAUGUGGGAAACUUGGUUGCAUUAUUUGUGGUAGUGGGGGACUGUGUUUGUGCUUUCCUCUG